rnacentral:rRNA from 1 species
GACGAACGCUGGCGGCGUGCUUAACACAUGCAAGUCGAACGGAAAGGCCCUGCUUUUGUGGGGUGCUCGAGUGGCGAACGGGUGAGUAACACGUGAGUAACCUGCCCUUGACUUUGGGAUAACUUCAGGAAACUGGGGCUAAUACCGGAUAGGAGCUCCUGCUGCAUGGUGGGGGUUGGAAAGUUUCGGCGGUUGGGGAUGGACUCGCGGCUUAUCAGCCUGUUGGUGGGGUAGUGGCUUACCAAGGCUUUGACGGGUAGCCGGCCUGAGAGGGUGACCGGCGACAUUGGGACUGAGAUACAGCCCAGACGCCUACGGGAGGCAGCAGUGGGGAAUAUUGCACAAUGGGCGGAAGCCUGAUGCAGCAACGCCGCGUGCGGGAUGACGGCCUUCGGGUUGUAAACCGCUUUCGCCUGUGACGAAGCGUGAGUGACGGUAAUGGGUAAAGAAGCACCGGCUAACUACGUG